GCUAACUACGUGCCAGCAGCCGCGGUAAUACGUAGGGCGCAAGCGUUGUCCGGAAUUAUUGGGCGUAAAGAGCUCGUAGGCGGUUUGUCGCGUCUGCUGUGAAAGCCCGGGGCUUAACCCCGGGUGUGCAGUGGGUACGGGCAGACUAGAGUGCAGUAGGGGAGACUGGAAUUCCUGGUGUAGCGGUGGAAUGCGCAGAUAUCAGGAGGAACACCGAUGGCGAAGGCAGGUCUCUGGGCUGUUACUGACGCUGAGGAGCGAAAGCAUGGGGAGCGAACAGGAUUAGAUACCCGAGUAGUC
rnacentral:rRNA from 1 species